AUUGAACGCUGGCGGCAGGCCUAACACAUGCAAGUCGAGCGGAUGACGGGAGCUUGCUCCUGGAUUCAGCGGCGGAUGGGUGAGUAAUGCCCAGGAAUCUGCCUGGUAGUGGGGGACAACGUUUCGAAAGGAACGCUAAUACCGCAUACGUCCUACGGGAGAAAGCAGGGGACCUUCGGGCCUUGCGCUAUCAGAUGAGCCUAGGUCGGAUUAGCUAGUUGGUGAGGUAAUGGCUCACCAAGGGGACGAUCCGUAACUGGUCUGAGAGGAUGAUCAGUCACACUGGAACUGAGACACCGUCCAGACUCCUACGAGAGGCAGCAGUGGGGAAUAUUGGACAAUGGGCGAAAGCCUGAUCCAGCCAUGCCGCGUGUGUGAAGCAGGUCUUCGGAUUGUAAAGCACUUUAAGUUGGGAGGAAGGGCAGUAAGCGAAUACCUUGCUGUUUUGACGUUACCGACAGAAUAAGCACCGGCUAACUCUGUGCCAGCCGCCGCAGUAACAC
rnacentral:rRNA from 1 species